rnacentral:lncRNA from 1 species
UCUAAAAUCAUGAAGUUACGGUGUACAUUUGGUUGGAAGACCAUUUGAAAGGUUCCGGUGAAGUUCGGUGAGGUUCGGAAGCAUUUGGGCGUUUCGGUGUGCGUAGGCGCUAAAACGGAGCCGAAAGGCUAUGUUGGGCCGUGAGCUAAAUCCGGCAUUAGCGAGGAUGGAAAGAUGAUGAAAACAUGUUUGGAAACAUGUUUGGAGAGUCUCGGUUCGAUUUGAGACGAAUCGGAAGUCAAACGAGCGAAAACGGGCGAAAACGGAGAAGAAACGGUGAAAAAGGCUGAAAUUUGGCUAAGUCCUUGAGGCUGAGUACUGGA